UAAUUUACCAGAUUGGAAUGCAAAGUCAGUUUGCUCAAGUAACUAACAUUUACUGCUUUUCUUCAUUUGUGAGUAGUGUUACUUGUGUAAUGUUAACGUCAAUGAGGACAAUAACGCUAGAUUGCCUAACUAGUUAACGUUACUUGCUAACGUUAGCGAGCUUAACUAGCUAGCUAGCUAGCUAGAAACAUAAACUUGGCUGUUGCUAGCUAGCUAAAUUAUGGUAAAUGCGGUUAAGUUGGGUAGUUUGCCAUCUGGCCAGUAAUGGCCAGCCCCAGCAUCGUAUUCACCACAGCACCAUGUGGAUGUGAUAGCCAUGGAGGGACAGGAGUGAAGCAUUACGACGGGCCAACUGUGCCAUGUUUGGGCUGCAGACAUGAAGCUUAGGUUUCUGUCUGUAAUGGGGCCAAGGACCUGAAGUGGACAGUGUGGCGGAUGCUACCUUGUAUUCUGUCAGUCUUGCCACAACCUGGACAGGGGAUAAGGCCUGUUUCAGGGACUGGUUUCUGAAGACUGUUAUUCACCGAGCCAUUCGGAAGAACCAUGCAAUCCGGCAUGCCACAGAUGAGGGGGUCCAGAUUCAGGUCACCCGUUACCUGAAAGGGGCCUCCGGUUGGAGGCGGCGCACAGGGAUUCGCUGCAGUGAGGGUCAACAUCAAGUCUCGGACAACCUGUCUCAAAGCCUGCUUCUACCCCACCAAACCACAAGACUGUUCCAACAGCCUGGGCUGACUACUGCACUCAACCACACACUUAACAGUUAUUCAUAUUCUGUACACACUGAAAUCCGUUUUGUCUACCGGACCAAUGCAAUAGUUCUGUCACCUUACUGCACUACUAAUGUAUAUACAUUUUACAUUACAUUUACGUCAUUUAGCAGACGCUCUUAUCCAGAGCGACUUACAAAUUGGUGCAUU